AAGAUUAUCCGAACUAGAAGAGCACCAAUGAAGUCAAGACCCAGCAAGACCAGGCAAAAUUGGCCUUUCAUUAUGUCUUUGCUCCAUUCCCGUUACACGACAAUGAGCAAAGAGGGGCAGCUGUACAGGCCAAUUUUGGGCCACCCCCAAAACCCAAUAACAAAACCCAAUAAACCAAAUAAAUAAAGUCCAAAGUACAAAACUAAAAGACUAGCCCAACAGGCCCAAAUCAACCUAGCCCACUAAACAUUUUCCAAAAAAAAGAGGAAACCCUAGCAGCUCCCCAAGCCUCCAGCCGCUGCACGCUAGGCCAACCAUGGGCCACCUUGCGCACCACCACCAUACCCCGCGCAUGCCCUUCUCCUCCAUGCGUCUGACACCACCCACACCUGACACACCUGUAAUAGAGACAAAAACAACAGCAUGCGAGGGAUGGGGGAAAGAAUAAACAGAAGAAGACAGGAAAUGAAUGGAGAAACAUGCAAAACAAAAGCAAAACAAGCAGAGAGCAGUGAAAAUCACAUGUAAUCGGCUAUAAAAGCCGAAAGAGAAUCAAUGUAAAGGGGGGGUUGGCUUCUUUUUUUCGUUUUUGAUAUUCAUUCAAAUAUAUUCAAAGGGGGUCUUUUUUUUCUGUUUUUUUCUUUUUCUUAUUUUCGGCAGUUUAAAAACAAAGAAGCAGAGAAUACAGAUUAGUUUUCAGGAGUAACAAUAGAUCAGUAUUGAAUAUUAUCAAAACACCAAGAUCAAAGGAUUAAAAGCUUAAAAAACCCUAAGGUGAUUUUUUUUUUCUUUCUAUUUUAAAUUCGGUUUUAAGUUUUUUUAACCUAUACAUAUAUUAAAACCUAAAAGAAAAUACAAAAAAAAUAAAAAAUAAAAAAAAUAUAAAUUUUUACCUUUUCCGGCCACCGCGUGCCGGCGAGCCUCCGGUGGCCGUCCGGUGACCGACCUCCUAGCCGGAUUCCCCUUCCCCCCUCCCUUCUCUCUCCCUUCUCUCUUCCUUCUCUUCUUUUUUCUUCUUUCCCACUCCCCAAAUGAUUUUUUUUGGUUAGUUUAGGCCUUAUAUAGCCCUCCAAAACGACGUCGUUUUGAGGGCUACACUUAAGUCCCAAAACGACGUCGUUUUGACCAUGCCCGACCCAUCCGACCCGACCCGCCAAGAGGAUCCGCGUGUUUUGUUUGAAUGGGUUAUUUAUGUGCGCGGUCCUUCCGCUUUUUCAGGGUUUUGCAAUUAAGUUAUUUUUCUUGUUUCCAAUUUGGCCCCAUAAUUUCUCACGCUUUUCGAUUUAGUCCCCGCUAAUGUACUGCGUUUUAAUGGAAAGGAAUAAUUGUUGUUUCGGUCCCCCUAUGUUUUGUGCGCGCUCAAAUAAGCCCUUUACUCUUUAUUUCCUUUCACAUUUGCCCCAAAACUUUGUUAUUAGUUCAAUUUUAGUCCUUUUUUAUUUGUUUUUGUUUCUUUAUUAAAUAUUACAUUUUUUGUAUUUCAAUAUUAUUAUUGUUAUUAUUAUUAUUAUUAUUGUACAUUAGUGUAUAUCUUCAUGUAUGUAUAUAUAUAUGUAGUAAUGUUUUUAUUACUUUAUUUUAAUAUUUUUUUAUUAUAAUAGCUUUUGUAUUUCAAUAUUAUUAUUUUUAUUAUUAUCAUUAACAUUACUAUAUAUUCUUAUUAGAUGUAUAUAUACAUAUAUUACUGUUUUUAAUGACUUUAUUUUAAUAUCAUUUUAUUAUAUUUACUUUUUUGUAUUGUAUUACAUGGUUAUUAUUAUUAUAUUUAUUAGUGUAUGCCUCUUACCUCCGUAUAUAUUUUUUAGUACGUAUUAAUAGUCAAUUUUUUUAUAUAUAUUAUAUGGAUAGUUUAUAUGUAAUAUCAUGUAUAUAUUUUAAUAUUAUCAGUUAUAUAUCUUUAUACUAUAUGAUUUCUAAUACUAUUAUUUAUAUAUAUAUGUAUAAGUAUGUGUGUAGUGUACGAAAUAGUUUUCUUAUUAUUAUUAUCAUUUCUAAGGUAUGUACGUAUUGUAUAUGUUCUAUAUAUGUUAUAUAUAUUUUUAAUAUUACUAGUUAUAUAUAGUUCUUAUACAUUUCCAUGUACAUAUUUUUAUACCAUCUUAUGUAUAUAUUCAUUGUUUCUAUUUCGUGUUUAAUUCUAGUAUUGCGCUAAAUGUCGUAUAGAUCUUUAUCAUUUUAAUAUUAUUGUCACAUUGGUUAUUUGUUUCAAUAUAUGCCUAGCCCUAUCAUUUAUUUAUUUUUAUUUCAUAUCAAUUUACUUUGCAUUAUUUCGAAAAUCAUAUACUUGUUUUGCUAAUUAAUUUCAAUAAACAAGGAAAUGUACUGAUUUAACAUUAAGUCAUCGAGUUCAUCGCUAUGUUGGGUGAACGUCAAUUGACUCGUGUUAAAACGGCAUACCCUUCUCAAAAACCGAAAUAAACUAAAAUUUCUCGUUUUUUUCGGAUCAUAACUAAACUUUACAUUGAAUUCGCAUUUUUGAAAAUUAAGACAACAUGUGUUUAUGAGAUACCAAUUUUUGGGCGUCGCGAGGGUGCUAAUACCUUCCUCGCGGGUAACCGACUCCCGAACCCUAAUUUUCCUCAGGCUUUUAACGUAGACCUAAAUCCAGCCUUCCUUUUGUUUUAAAAAAAAUGAAUCUAAUAGGUGUCCGAUCACACCUAGGAAAAGGAUCGGUGGCGACUCCCUCUUUAUUUUAAAAUCAAACUUCAGUUUUCAAACUUUUUCACUAGAUUGCCACAAUUAGCGACCCGAAACCAAUUUUUACGUCGCUACACUCUUAACUUUUUAUUUUCCAGAUUGAGGUCCCUUAAGUCAUUUCUUACGACUUCAGCUUCUUUUUUCACUUUCUUGGUUCUGAAUCUUUCAAUCUGAACGUCGAUCUUCAGUUGGUAGUUUUCUUCUUGAAGAACACUAAGGUCCCGAGACAUUUUGGCCUUUUCUGGUUCAAAUUCUUGUCUUGCCAUUUCUAGCUCAGAUGGCACUUCUUCUGAGAAAGGAUUCUGGAUGGUGUAAUUUGUCGACGAGACGUGCUGACUAUUCACUCAUUGCUUUCUCCACAUGACAUAAUCUUGGGUGAGAGUGUCAGCGUAUAGAGCUAACUCCAUGAGAUGAAUUCUCUUCCAAGACUUCGCGGUAUCUCGGACCCUCUUUAUAUAUCCCUCACCCUCAAAAACAAACUCAGACUGUGCUAAUCCUCCUGUGGAGGGUAUGAAUUGUCGUGAAUAAAAUUACCUUUUGACCAUUAACGGAGCAUAUCCAAUUCCUCCCCAUAACCCGAGUAGUGGCACCCAAUCUUGAUUUCCAACCUUGUAUAACAGAACCGAUGGGCGAAUCUACGGUGCUCUCCAUGUUACAUCUUCAGCUCGAAGGUUCUGAAAAACUAAAACCCAAUGCUCUUCAGUGACAUCCUUUGGCCAUUCUCUCUCACGAUAGGCUUCCAACGGGGCGAAGGUUUUUGAAAACAUGUGGUACGGUGUGUGCUCAACUUUCUAAAAAUGGCUCAAAAUCCAGACAUUGAGUAGCUGCGCGCAUCCGAUAAAACGUCCUUCCCCUUUCCUCCUACAACUACUUAGGGAUCUGAGGGUCUCGGCCAAAAUAGUUGGGAUAGGGUUGAUUCCUUGUUUUAACUUUUCAAAGAAGUCCACCACCGCAACUUCUAUGUGUCCAAGGACCUUAGGGAAGACGAUCAAUCCGUAAACGGCCAAAGUGAAAAGAUUCACUCUCUUCAACAUAUCGGGAUGGCUUAGAACCAAAUCUCGCAAGGAAAACCACGGGAUACAGACGACUUCCUUCUUCUUCUUUAUUUGUUUUUUGGCCCAUGUAUCGGUCAUAUCUGUCAAUUUCACUAUUUUUUUCUUGAAGGUAAUCGGCUUAGGUUCUUUCACAUAUAUCUUAUAGAGUUGUACAUUAUCGACACGAAGCAGAGCAGCAUACUCUUCUAUAGUCGGGGUCAUGUCUUCCUGAUUGAAAGUAAAACAGUUGUAGGUCGGGUCCCAAAAUCUGAUCAUGGCUUGAAUCAAACGCUCGUCUAUAUUGAUAGUGAUCAGGUGGGCUAUAUCUCCGUACCUUUCAGUGAAGAUACCCUUAGUGUCUGAGUCCCACUGAUUCCAAACCCGAACCAAAUCUUCAAGGUUAUUUUGGCGAACAUUCACAGUUAUGUGCUCGGGCAGAUUGGUAAUACAUCCCUCCACUAUACUAUCCCCUUUUUCUUUCUGAGUUUUUAGAGACCAGUCCCGAACCACGGUAUGAUUCUCGGUUGUCUGUAUAAUUGACUCUUCCAUUAGAAACUCGUUUUUUGGCAACCGAUCUCUAGUCAACACCUUCCUAAUAUGCUGCCUAUAAUGCGUGAUGAAAAAUAAAAAUAAAUACAAACAACCUUGGUUAGUAAUCACAACAAAUAUAAAUUACGGAAAAUCCAAAUAAAAAGUAUAAAUGUCAAAGAGAUAAAAGGUAAGAGGCGUUUCUCCCAUGUACUUAUUUUGGUGACUGUUAACGGACAGAGGUUCGGCAUGGCUCUAAUUAGGUGGCUCAUACGGUUCACUAUAUGCGGUUUUGGUUCGAGACAGGUACUCGAAUUGUUCGCACUAUCGUCUACUAAGACUAGUACGAAGCCUCGGUCGUAGCCUAUCACAGGCUCACGAAUUCAAUUCGAGGGAUUACAUUUACUUAUACUUAUGCGGAGGGACAAGUUAACUCACGAAAGCAUAAGUCAUAUGUAACUCGAAAGUAUUCACUAGCCUGUGUGGAGGGACGAGUUAAUUCACGAAGGCAUAGCGUUUACUUUCACUUAAACGGAUGGAGCCCGGUAGAGAGCUCAUGUUAUGCAAAAAUGCAAGUGCACGGUGUGUGAGGAGAAACUUACAAACCUUUACGUUUUAUUUAAAAACUAAACCAAAACUAAAACCAUAAAAAUUUAAAGCUGAAAAACAACCAGAUAAAACAAGUUAGAAGAAUAUAUACAACACGAUGCAAAUGCAUGAUUUUUCAAAAACACAAUUUUGGGAUCACGACUAAAUAUUAAUUUGAACACGGAAUUUUGAAAAUUUUGACAACACACGUUUAAUUCGACUCGACUCUCAAAAAUGUAGUCCCCAGUGGAGUCGCCAGCUGUAGCGACGUAAAAAUUUUGCUUGGUCGCUAAUUGAGGUGACUUAUUGGAAAUUUGAAAACCGACUUUUCGUUUUUAUUAAAAAAGGGAGUCGCCACCGAUCUUUUUUCUAGGUGUGAUCGGACACCUAAUAAAUUUAUUUUUUAAACAAAAAGAAGGCCGAGUUUAAGUCUACAUCAAAAGCCAGAGAAGAAAUAGGGUUCGGGAGUCGGUUACGCACGAGGAAGGUAUUAGCACCCUCGCGACGCCCAAAAUUGGUAUCUUGUAAAACAUGCGUUGUCUUGAUUCUCAAAAAUAAGAGUUCAAUAUAAAUUUUAAUCGUGAUCCGGCCAAAACACGAGAAUUUUUUAUAAUUUCGAUCUCUUUUGAGAAGGACGUUCCCUUUUUUACACGAGCCGAUGAUAUUCACCCAACAUAGCGAUAAAAUCAACGACUUAAUGUUAAAUCGGCACGUUGCCUUAUUUAUUGAAAUUAAUUUAAAGACAUGAAUGAAAAUAUUUCUAGAUAAAACAAAUAAAAGUAAAAGAAAACUAAAAUUGAUGUUGCACUAUGGCAUGAACUACUAAUGCUAAACUCGGAACAGACAAAUAUUAAUUAAAAAGUUAAGAAUAUACGAAACAGAUAAUAUAUAGAACAUUAACAAUAUACAUGCAAUAGUAAUAGUAUAAAACUAUAAUAAUGCAUAUGGUAUUAAACAUGAUAGUAAUAGCAUUAAACACGAAAUAAAAUCAUGAAUAUAUAUAAACAUAUAAUAAUAAAUGAAGUGACGUAAACAUAAUAUUAAAAAUACUAAUAGUGCUAUAUAUAUAAAUUAAAGUAUGUGUAAUGAUAAGAGUGAAAGGUGUAUACAUAGUAAUACUAAAAUACAUACGUAAUAUAUACCUACAUAAUAUAUAAAAUGAACAUAUACAAGAUACAUUAUAAAUACUAAUAACAUAAAAAAUAUAUACAUUAAUAAUACUACACAAAUAUAUACAUAUAUUUUAAAAUAAAUACAUAAUAAUAUUAGAAUAAAAUAAUAAGUGUAAUAAUAAAUAUAAGGAUAUAUGAAAAUAAUACUAUUUAUAAAAAUAUAUAUACGUAUAAUAAAAUACAUAUACUAAUAUUAAUAAUAAAUAUAAUAGGAAUAAAAAUAAAUAAAAUAAUAGUAAAUAUAUGAUGUGGUAUUAAAAAGAUAUAUAUAUAUGUAAUAGUAUUCAAGAAGAUAUGAAAAAUAAAAAUAUACAAAUAAUAUGGUAUUAGAGGUAUAUACAUAACAUAUAUAAAAAUGCAAUAUUUAAAGAUACAUACACACAAUAUAUAUAAAAAUGUUAAAAUAUUUACAUAGUAUAUACAUAUUAAAAAUAAUGCUAAAAGACAACUCUUAAUAUUACUACAUAACUACAUACAUAUAUAUUAAAGAUAUAUACACAAAAUAGAACACAUACUAACAUUGAUAAGAACAUAUACAAGAAAUAGUAUAAAACGUAUAACUAAUAAUACUAAAGAUAUAUACAUAACAUAUAUAAAAACAUAUACGAUACACAUAUAUAUUAGAAACGACAAUAAUGUUAAAAAAACUAUUAAUAGUAUUACAUGAAUAUACAUAGAUAUAUGUAUAUUAAAGAUAUAUGCAUACAUAAUUAACAUAUACUAUUAUUAAUAAUAAUAAGAAUAAUAUAAAUAAUAGUAAAUAUAAUAAUAUUAAGUAACAUUAAAAAUAAUUAAUUUAAUAAUAAAGAUAUGAAAAUAACCUGAAAGGACUAAAAUUGGAUGAAGGACAGAAUUCUGGGGCGAAUUUGAAAUAAAGAGAAAGAGAACGGGACCAAAUUAAACGUGCAAAAAAUAGGGGAGGGACCAAAAGCACAAUAAACCCAUUUGCCCCAAAACGCGCAGUAUUAUGGGGACUAAAUCAAAAAUCAAAGUAAACUAUUGGGCCAAAUUGAAAAUAACAACAAAUUUGAUUGUAAAAUCAUAAAAUGCGGAAGGGCCAAGAGCGCAAUUAGCCCUUUUGCUAUAAAAACACGCGGAUCCUAGUGGGUCGGGUCGGGUCGGUCCGACCCGGGGCCAAAACGACGUCGUUUUCUUUUAAAUGGGGGGAGGGACCAAAACGCACUGUUUUGGUCCUUAUGAAAGAUCAAAAAUUUUUAAAAAAAUCAUUUGAACGGGGGAAAGAAAAAAAAAAGAGGGAGAGAAAAGGGAGAGGGGAAGGGAAGAGAUUUCCGGCCAUGGGCCGGUCACCGGUCCGAUCGCCGGACCGUCGCCGACGCCGACCCCGGCCACUAUGCGCUGUGGCCGGAAAAGGUAAUUUUUCUUUUUCUUUUUUUUUUUAAAUUAUUUGUUUUAUAUUUUUUAUGUUUUAAUAUAUAUAUGUGGAAAAUGAAACCAAAACAGAAUUUAAAAUGAAAAAAAAAAUAAUCACCUUAGGCUUUUCACACUUUUGAUUCUUCGAUCUUUGGUAUUCGGUUUGCUUAGAUGCUAUUCUUGUAUUUAAACUGAUUGAAUUGCUAUUUUUACUCUGAAAUCGAAUGCUUUUUCUUAUUUUUGUGUUUGAACUGCCGAACCCAAAACAUAAUUUAGAUUUUCCUUUUUAUAGCCUUUUACAAUGCCCUCAAUCUUAUUGUUGCGUGUUCACUUGACUUUGCAGGUAGGUUGAUGGCCGGUGGAGGUGACCAUGGGGCAGGUGGCGCCAGGGGAUGGUGUUGCAGCAGGUAGGUGGUGGCAAAGGCAAGUAGAGGGAGGCAAGUGGGGAGCUAGGGUUUCGUGAUUGGGCUUGGUUGUUGGGCUAGGUUGAUUUAGGUUAGUAUUGGGCUGAGGGUGUAAAAUGAGUCUGUUGGGUAGGUUUGGGUAGUUUUUGAUUUAGUUUGGGUUUUGAUGUAAUGGGUUUAGUUAUUAUAAUUGGGUAGUGGGUCUGGUUGUAACUGGGUUUUGGGUUAUUUGUAUUCGGGCCCGGACAAUUUGGGCUUCUACAGAAAUAAAAAACAUGAAGAAGAGAAAGAAAAAGAAAAAAAGAAAGAACUCAAAGGAGUAAAGAAAAAGAACGUUUUAUAUACACUAGAACCCGAACACAAGACCAAACAAAAUACAAAAGCUUAACUAUUGAACUAGCAGGGUCAUUCUUGUCAUAGAUUUAUACAGAGUUAAAUUUAAGUCAACUGUUUAAAAGCAAUGAUUGAUAAUUAACUAGCAAAACUUCUAAAAUAAGACUCGAAUUUCUGACCACAAACUCAUAAGCAGAAUAUUUAACCACAGAUACAAAGACUUAAUUAUUGUAAAAUCUUACAAAUAAGCAUUCAAAAUUUGGGGUGUUACAAAUUUAUAUAUAUAUUUGGAGGAUGAAUAUGAAAGAGUAUGAUUAUUUAAAUAUAAUUUUUUUAUAACAUAUAAAUAUCACAUAAAUAUAUGUUUUUGAUAUUUAAGUAUAAAAAAUAUUUAAUAAUGAUAUUUUUAAAAUAAUAUUUUAAGAAAACUAAAAUAAUAAUGUAAUUUAAUAAUUUUUAAAUAAUAUUUUGUUUGAUAAUAAUAAAAACAAUAGUUUUAAAUGUCUAUAAUCUGUAUAAAAGUAGUUUUGAAAAUUUUUUGUACUUAUCAAUAUAGCUUUUAUUCCUCAUUAUAUUAGUAAAUAUCAUUUCUCAUAUUGGAUUCUUAUCAUAUCUGUUUUUUUUUAUAUAAUACCUAGAAUUACUCAUAGUCUCUCGUCAACUUUUAAAUAGGAGGAUAAUGUGCUUCAACGCAAUUAAACCCACGUCCUCAUUUAUUGGUAAUAAAAUUGAUGCCAAUUGAGCUAAAACUCAAUUGACUAGUAAAUAUGAUUUUUAAAUAUACAUUUUUUUUAUUUUUCUAAGAUUUAUCAUAUUUAUAAAUAAUAAUUUUAUUUUUACUAAAAUAAUUGGUUAAAAAGAUUACUUGAUAAAAAGAUUUAUGUACUUAUAAGUAAAAAUUAUGAUUAAUUUUAUUAAAUAAAUUUAUAUAAUAAAUAAUAAAUUUGAUAUUAAAUUACUUUGUAUUUAAAUGAUCAUGUUUCAAUUGACCGAAAAAUUUAAAGGAAAAAAAAUGAUAUUACUUUAGUGUUAAAUUGCAAUUUUUAGUUAUUUAUUUAUUAAUUUUACAUUUCAUAUAUAAAUUUUUAUGGUUAAAGUGUAAAUUUACCAUCAUAUUAUAGGUGAAUAUUGAAAUUUAUCGCUAUACUUUGCUUUUGUUGAUAUUUACAUUAUAUUUUAAAAACACGAGUAAAUUUUUUAUUCAAACUUUAAUGUGAUUUAAUUUUAUUACUAAGCUUUAAAUUUAAUUAAUUUUUUUAAACAAAUUUAAUUUUUAAAUUAAAAUUUAUCACUUUAAAACAUAUUAAUUUUGUAAAAAUAAUUAAUAAAAAAAUUAUUUCAAAUAUUUUAUUAUAUUUUAUUAGAAUAGUUAACAAUAAUUUAACUUAUAAAUGUUAAAAAUUAAUAAAUUAAAUUACAAUUUCUAGUUAAUGAAAUAAUCUUGAAAAAAUAAAAAUACAUGUAUCAUAAAAGAAAAAAUAAGUUUACUUUUAUAAAAUAAUAAUUUUAGUUAUUUUUAAUAUUAUAUUAAUUAGUGAAUAUUAAAGUAACAUAUAAAAAGAAUUAUUAUUAAAUUUUUCUUCAAAUUAUUUUAUAAAUCUAAUCUAAUCUAUUUUAUUUUUGAAUUUAUUAAUUACUUUGUACAAGCCCAAUUUUGGGCCCAAAACCCCUAAACCCACUAAGCCACAACCCAAACCAACUUAAACCUACCCAAAACCCAAAUAACCUAGCCCAAUACAUUAAAGAAAAAUAAAUGAAAACCUAAAACCCUAGCCGUCAGCACAUGCUCCCCACCUCAUCCACCACCGACGCCAGCAAGUGGCCUUUGCUCCACCACCGUUUGCCUGCAGCAAUAAAGGAAGAAGAGACAGAUUAGUCAAAUAGGGCAAGUUGUAGAAAAAACGCCUAUAAAAGGCUGAAUCCAAAAACCAUUGGGGGGUCGGCCUUUGGUGUAAUGAAAAAAUAAUCUUAGGUUUUAAAACACAAGCAAAGAAGCUAAAAACUCUAGCAAUAUCAAAAAGCAAAGAAAAACAGUUCAAACACAGGAGCAAAGUUUGAAAUCUAAGGUGAUAGUUUUAUUAUUUUCGUGUUCUUGUUUCUUUUUUUCUUUUUCUUUUCUUUCUAUUUUUGAAUCUAGUCCCCACAUAUAUAUGCAUAUAUUAAAGACAUAAAAAAUACAAAAAAAUAAAUAAAAAAAUAGAUACCUUUCAAAAUUCACGCGGUGGCCUGCGACGGCGGUCCUGCGACGGUCCGGCGACCCUUCCUGGCCGGAUUUUGGCUUUGGCCAGAGAGAACAGAGAACCCCUCCCCUCUUUUUUUUUUCUGAGGCAAAGAAAAAUGAAUUGUUUAUAAAAUUUUUUUGCUUUUAUAACACUAAGGAAAUGACGUCGUUUUCAUUGGCCUCCCCAGACGCCAAAACGACGUCGUUUUGGGGAGGCCGACCCGAUCCGACCCGCCCCAACAACAGGAUCCGUGUGUUUUUUAAGCGGAGUGGUUAUUUGCGCUGUUGGCCCCUCCGUUUUUUUGUGAUUUCGCGAUUAAGUUUUUUUAAUUUUAAUUUCACCCUUAAACUUAUCCUGGUUUCAAUUUGGGCCCCUAUUAGGACGACGUCGCUUGGGGGGGGCGGGGAUUAUUUCAUUUUUGGACCCCGUGUGUUAUUCGUGCUUUCAAAUCAGUCCCUUCCUCCUUUAUUUAUUUCUGGAUUGGCCUCGAAUUCUUGUUUUAAAUUCAAUUUAGUCCCUAGCUUAGUUAUUUAACACCUUUAUUAUUAAAUUAGUUAAUUUCAUUAUUUUCUUUCAUUAUUAUUUAUUAUAUUUUUACUAUCAUGUUUUUACUACUUUAUUAUUAUUGCACUAUUGUUAUUAUUUUCCUUCUUAUUACCAUUUAAAUUAUAUUCUCUUUCUAUUUAUUUAUUCAUAUUUUUUAAUAUCAUCAUUACUAUUAUUGCUAUUAUAUUUUAAUAUGUAUUCAUUGUAUCUAAUUUUAUUUAUUUAUUUAAAUUUAUGUUAUUACUUUAUUUUAUGUAUUAUUUAUAUUUACAUUUACGCAUGAAUAUUACUAUUUUAUAUAUAUUAUUUUCAUUUGCAUCUUACUUAUUAUCAUUUUGCAUCUUUAUUAUUACUAUUAUUUAUUAUUAUUAUUAUUACCACCACUUUUUUCUUACCAUUACUAUUAUCUUAGCAUUGAACCCAUAAAUUUCAUAUCGUUAUCAUUAUAUUAUAUAUAUAUAUUUUAGGUAUAUAUUGUUAUUGUACCUUUUAUUAUUAUUACUAUUGUUUAUUAUUAUUAUCAUCAUUAUAUUUUCCUUUUUAUUACUAUUACUACAUUAUUUCUACUUUUACAACUAUUAUUAUUAUCAUUACUAUUACAUUAUUAGCUUAUUAUUUCUUUAUUAUUAUUAUCCUUAUAUUUUUUUAUCUUUUGUCAAUAUAUUUAUUAUUUUUCUUUUACUAUUUUAUAUUUUAUUUAUUUAUUUAUAGGUUUACUAUUAAGUUUCCUUUUUACUUAUUCUUAUUAUUCUUGUUUAUUUUUAUCCUUAUCAUUUUUAUUAUUUUUAUCUAUUAUUUUGCUCUUAAGUUACAUAGCUUGUUUAUUUCUUUCAUUUUUUUCAUUUAUACUACUCAUUUAUUAUUAUGCUUGUUAACAUCAUGAUUUACUCCUUUUCGUUCUUACAAAUUUGCGCUAUAUCAUCCUUUAUCCGACAAAAAUAAUCCUUUCAUAAAAAAGUAAAUAUUUCGUAUUUGGUAAUUCGAGAUAAUCGUGCCCUAACUUACUGGGCUUCGAUUUUUUCUCAUUUAACCUAAAUAACGGAAUACUUUUUCAAAUCACUAUACGAGUUUUGAAAAAUGCUUAUUCUCGAAGAUGCGAAGUGUUGUGCCCUAACUUACCGGGUAUGACAUUUUGUCAUCUCGAAAUAAGAAUUUUGUUUCGAAAUAAAGGCAAUAUUCGUGUUUGAGAAUUCGAGAAAACGUGCCCUAACUUACUGGGUUUCGACUUCUCUCGUUUAUUCUAAAUAACCGAAUACCCUUUUAAUAAAAUACACAGAUUUUAUAAAAGGCAAGCUCGCUCUCGAAAAUUCAAGAUGUCGUGUCCUAACUUACUGGAUGUGACAUUUCAUAUUUUGAGACGAGAAGCUCUUUAACACUUGAGCUUUUUAUAAAGAAGGAUCGUAUUUUAAAAUUCUUUCAAGUUUUUAAAUUUUCGACAUUAAGACACUAAUUAAUCAACUAGGUACCAAUUUUGGGCGUAUCGAGGGUGCUAAUCCUUCCUCGUGCGUAACCGAAUCCCGAACCUAUUUUCUUGAUUUGCGUAGACCAAAAUUAUUGUUUAAAUAAAUCAAACCGAUCACACCUCGUCAAAAAGGAUCGGUGGCGACUCCCAGUUUUUCAUUUUCAUUUUCAAAAUCCAAGUCGAUUCCCGUUUUUUCAAAAAAAUGGUUACGACAGCUUGGCGACUCCACUGGGGACAAAAUAAGAAAGUCAAGCCACAAGUUGAUUAACUUUUGUCUUUUUGUCGAGAAUUGAAAAUUUGAUUUUGAUAUACGAUCCUUUCAUUGUAUUUCACCCGUUUUCUGUACGGUUUUCAUCAUUUUAUUCCAAUUUUCUUUAAUCGCUUCAAGUUUUUAUGCAUAUAUCCUCGCACAUUGCAUUGCAUGACCGUUGUGGUCACACCCUUUAAGUGGGAGUGAGAAACUAUUCCUUCGUGAGGUUUACACCUCCGUGCAAGAUAGCGGAUCGCUUUCGGGAUACAUCCGUACCUAUGUCUUCGUGAGAUUUUCGUCUCCGUGCAGUCAUAAGGAAAUGUAUUCCCCUGAACUGAACUCGGUCCAUAUGAACCUAUAAUGGGUGAGGAUCGAGGAAUCUGCUGGUUCAGGUACCCUUACUCUAGAACCAAACCACAUAUAGAGAGACCUAGGAGCUCACCCUAGGUAGAGCUAUUCCGAACCCCUAGGGGUUACCCAAAUUGCUUUAUUUGUUAUUUAUUUAUCCUGUACUAACGUGUUUUGUUUUUGUUUUGUUUACAAUUGCAUUGUAUUACAUCAUCAUAGGAAGGAGGUGUUGAUUCAUAUUUGAUUGCUAAAUAGAACAGUUUGUCAUAAGAAAACGAAUUUUUUGAUAAAGUGGAUUAUAACACGGUUGUCUAAAUAUGGUCCAAGUAAACACAAUGAAAGAAGGCUGAUAGUCUGUGAAGAAAUACAAGAAUUUGCUUCAUUGCUUGAGGAUGCAAGCCAACAAAGAUUAUUCAAGAGUCGUUACGUCUUAAAGGAGCUAACGAGUAUCGUAGGGAUAAGUGAUCAAUGAGUCGCGGCCUGGAUCAAGAAAAAAAAGGAGUUAAUAUAGACAUCUCUUGGGAAAUUUGUAAGACUCGACCAUAAGAUCCGGAUAUGAAGAGGAAGUUAGGUGUCUUCACUUGGAAUAUGAUAAAAAGGCCGUAUAUGUAGUCCAUUUUAUGUAAAGGAAUUUGUUUUCUAGAAAAGUUGUUCUAAUGAAAUUGAAUUCAGAAUCAAUGCCUUCCUUUCUUUUGCAUUUAUUUCAUACAUCUGCAUUGCAUUACAUUAUUUGCAUUAGACUUUCCCUAAAAGAACCCUAAUUAGGUGAAAUUAUUUCAGUUAGCCUGGGAACCGACAAAGGUCAAACGACUAGGCAUCUUUACGGUACACGAAAAAGGAUAAAAGAUAUGGAUCAGAGAUUAGAAAGGAUAGAACAAAUGCAAAGGGAGAUGCAAGAACAAUUACAAGCGCAGAUGCAAGAGCAACUGGCUAAAAUACAGCAAGAUAUGAGGGACCAUAUGUUGGAGUCCCAGAAAAGCAUAAUGGACCAAUUAACUCGUCUAUUGGUUGGCGGAUUAGAAAAAGGGAAAAGUCCUUUGAUCAAUGCAGAAGAAGAUAAUGAAGAUCCUACCUACCCUCCGGGUUUUGCCCCAGCAGACGUUCAGACACAACCUGACAUGUACCCAAGAAGGCCAUCGGUCACAAUUAGGCCCAAGGCCGGUGCUUCGGCACCGAUGAAUUGUCAGGCCGGCUCGGGCUCUAAUCCAGGGGACAAUCCAACCAACCCUGUGGUCCUUAAUCUGGAUGAAGUAAUAAAAGCAGAAAAGACAAGGGUAGAACUCCCGAGAGAGCUUGAAGAAAGGUGUAGAUGGUUGGAAGAAAAAUUUAAAAAAAUGGAAAGCACCGACUAUCGUGGUGGAAUCGACGCUAAGGAAUUAAGUUUGGUUCCAGACUUGGUAUUCCCUCCCAAGUUCAAAAUUCCAGAAUUUGAGAAAUACAACGGGACUAGCUGUCCCGAAGCUCACAUCACUAUGUUCUGCAGACGAAUGGCAGGCCAUGUCAACAAUGACCAGCUAUUAAUUCACUGCUUCCAAGAAAGUCUGGUUGGGGCCGCUUCUAGAUGGUACAACCAGCUGAGUCGCGCCCAGAUUAGUUCAUGGAAAGAUUUAGCACAAGCCUUCAUGAAGCAGUACGGUCAUGUGACAGACAUAGCCCCUGAUAGAAUCACUUUACAGAAUAUGGAGAAGAAGCAUAAUGAGAGCUUUAGGCAAUACGCCCAGCUAUGGAGAGAAGUGGCCACACAGGUCCAACCCCCUCUGUUGGAAAAGGAAACCACUAUGCUCUUCAUCAAUACCCUGAAGGCACCUUCUAUUAACCACAUGCUGGGUAGCGCAACCAAGAGUUUUUCGGACAUAGUAAUGUCUGGAGAAAUGAUAGAAAAUGCCAUAAGAUGUGGGAAAAUAGAGGCUGGGGAAAAUGCUAAGAGGACAACGCCGAGAAAGAAAGAGCACGAGGUGAAUAAUGUAAGCUCAUAUUCGAAGUCGAUCACCGUAAGCCAACCAAGGUCGACAACUACUAGACAGCAGGGCCCACCCUGACAAGAGCCCAACACAAAACAAAAUAGGGAGAAACUUCAAUUUACGCCCAUUCCAAUGACGUACAAUGAGUUAUACCAGAGUUUAUUUGAUGCACAUGUCGUGUCUCCCUUCUAUCUAAAGCCAAUGUAACCUCCAUACCCCAAAUGGUAUGACACAAAUGCCCAAUGUGAAUACCAUACGGGAGCCACAGGACACUCGAUAGAAAACUGUACCACUUUCAAGAAAUUGGUUGAGAGACUCAUCAAUAUGGGGGUUGUGAAAUUUGAUGAUACAUCCAGUACAGAGAAUCCAUUACCUAACCAUGGGGAUAAGGGAAUAAAUGCGAUAAUCCAGAGUUCGGGGAAGGAAAUUAAGAUGAAUGUUGCAGAAGUGAAUACCCCGUUAAAAGAAGUAUGGAAGAAAAUGGUGGAAAGAGGUUUGAUGGCACAGAAUUCGGGGGUCAGGCCUCAAGAAGUGAAGAAUUAUUGUGAGUUUCACGAUCAAGAGGAUCAUGAGAUUCAAAAAUGCAGCCAAUUCAGGGCUUUAGUACAAGGAUUGAUGGAUAAUAAGGAGCUGGAAUUCUUCGAAUAUGUCGGGAACUUGGAAGAAGCAGAUGUAUGUGCCUCCGAAGAGGGUUCGACGAAGGAUGUUUACAAAAUCAACCACCUAGUGGUUAUCAUAUCACGUCCGAGAAUGAAUGAAGCCGGGGCACGAGUUGCGCUAAAGGUCGUGAUCCAAAAGCCCGUUGCUUUCCAUUAUAAAGAUAGCAAAAGGGUACCGUGGAACUAUAACUGCAAUGUGACAUUCCCGGGAGAGGAGACCCCGAUUAAUACAUCAGAAGAAGUUCAAGAUGAAGGUUUUUAUACGCGCAGCGGAAGGCGUUAUACCCUAAAUACAAAAGUCGAGCAGGUUAAAGAAAAAUCAUUAGCAAUUAAGCAAAAAAAAGAGAAGCCGGCGGGGCUUGAACCAACUGUUAAUGAAUCAGUGACUGAAAAAAAGCCAAGAAAUUCUUAAAAUUCCUAAAGCACAGCGAAUAUAGUGUCGUAGAACAUUUACACAAACAGCCAGCGCGUAUAUCGAUACUGGCCUUACUUUUAAGUUUCGAAACCCAUCGCAACGCAUUGAUGAAGGUGCUGAAUGAAACUUAUGUUGCUAACGAUAUCUCUGUAAACAAACUGGACUACUUAGUCAACAAUAUAAGUGCCGAAAACUUCAUAUUCUUCAAUGACGAUGAGGUACCGCCAGGGGGCCGAGGAUCAACUAAAGCUUUGCACAUCACGACUCGCUGUAAAGGGUACACGUUACCGGGGGUAUUGAUUGACAAUGGGUCUCACUGAAUGUCCUACCCCUAUCUACGCUGAGUAGGUUGCCAGUGGAUAGUUCCCAUAUGAAGACAUACCAAAAUGUAGUGAGAGCAUUUGAUGGCACGAAAAGAAGGUAAUGGGGAGAAUUGAAGUACCCCUCUUAAUAGGGCCAAGCACAUACGAGGUAGAUUUCUUGGUCAUGGACAUUAAGCCUUCGUAUAAUUGCCUAUUGGGGAGACCGUGGAUACACUCGGCGGGGGUAGUCCCUUCAUCGCUGCAUCAAAAGUUGAAAUUAGUGACCGAAGGUCGGUUAGUAACAAUCAAUGCUGAAGAGGACAUCAUCGCGGUAAUAACCAGUGAUGCCCCAUAUCUGGAGGCAAAUGAUGAAGCAAUCGAGUGCUCUUUUCGAUCUUUGGAGUUUGUGAACGCGACGUUCAUCACCGAAGGAAAUAAGAUUCCAAUACCCAGGUUAUCUGAGACUACAAGAAUGGGACUGCGGCUAACUAUUGGAAAAGGGGCUCUACCCGGAAGAGGACUCGGGAAAUACCUCCAGGAAAGGAUUAAUGUACCAAUGUUGAAGGACAAACAAUACCGUUUUGGGUUAAGGUUUAAGCCAAACAUGAAACAAAGAAAGAAGGAACUUGAGAAGAAGCAAGAAAGAAGGAGAGCGCGAUUGAGCCGGGGAGAAAUCGAAUGGGAACCAAUGAUCUUCCCUCAUAUAUCGAAGACUUUUGUGUCUAGAGGGGUCAUUCACUCCGAGCAGAAGACGUCAGGAAAGGAAAUCUUAGAAGGAAUGAUGGAGAGUUUGGAGAUCAAUGCCACAUAUGAAGAAGGGACGGAGGUAGAGAAUUUGUCAGGCAUUCGCCCCUAUGAGCCGGGAAGUGUUCUGAAUAAUUAGACUGCGGAAGAGAUUCCUGUAGUCUUUAGAACUAACUCAGAGUAAUGCCCAAAACACACUUAUUGCUCUAGGCCUAGGAGUAACAAGUGUCAUUUUGUGAAAUAGGCUUAUGUUCGAAAUUGUUAUUUCAAUGAAAUGCAUCCUUUUGACUUAUUCCGUGCAAAUAUUAUUUUAUUCUUUCAUUCAUGAUUAUACCAAACAUAUCAUUGUUCUUAGAUUCUCUUGUUCUUUGCAUCUCCAUUCACACCUACAACAGGUCUCCAGAUAUCAAUGAUGCGAGUGACGUUGCUACUAAUUCAGAAUCUCCUUUUGAGCGGGAUAUGUGUCUGGAGGGAUCCCAAGACUUUGAGGAUGACGGAGACUGUAACUUAUCCCCUGAUUUGUUAAAGAUGGUAGAACACGAGGAGAAACAGAUUCUACCCUACAAAGAGACCGUAGAAGUCGUGAACUUGGGAGACGAACUAGAAAGGAGAGAAGUAAAGAUCGGAACUUGCAUCACCACAGAGACAAAGCGGGACCUUAUUGAGUUACUCCAAGAGUUCAAGGAUGUCUUUGCAUGGUCAUAUCAGGAUAUGCCUGGGCUAAGUACUGACAUUGUGGUACACAGGCUCCCCAUCAAAGAAGAAUGCAAGCCAGUUCAGCAAAAGCUUUGAAGAAUGCGGCCCGAUGUUCUGUUGAAGAUAAAAGAGGAGGUCAAGAAGCAAUUUGAUGCUGGUUUCUUACAAGUAGUUAAGUACUCGAAAUGGGUAGCCAACAUCGUCCCCGUCCCUAGAAAAGAUGGAAAGGUACGGAUGUGUGUAGACUACAGAGACUUAAACAAGGCCAGCCCGAAAGAUAAUUUCCCGUUGCCUCAUAUCGACACCUUAGUGGACAACACGGCAGGUUACUCACUCUUCUCCUUCAUGGAUGGUUUCUCAGGGUACAAUCAGAUCAAGAUGCAUCUUGAAGACAUGAAUAAAACCACAUUUGUGACCAUGUGGGGAACCUUCUGCUAUAAAGUAAUGCCGUUUGGAUUGAAAAAUGCGGGAGCAACAUAUCAGAGAGCCAUGGUAACCCUAUUUCAUGAUAUAAUGCAUAAAGAAAUUGAAGUCUAUGUCGACGACAUGAUCGCCAAAUCUCGGACUGAAGAAGAGCAUGUACAAGUCUUGAGGAAAUUAUUUUUGAGGUUGAAAAAAUUCCAGUUGAAACUCAAUCCCGCAAAAUGUACCUUCGGAGCCAGGUCAGGUAAACUGCUAGGAUUCGUGGUCAGUGGAAAAGGGAUUGAGAUUGACCCAGAUAAAUUCAAAGCCAUACAAGAGUUACCUCCACCACGUACUCAGAAGGAAGUUCGAGGAUUCCUAGGAAGACUAAAUUACAUUGCUCGGUUUAUUUCACAACUAACCGAAAAAUGUGACCCCAUAUUCCGUCUCCUUAAGAAACACAACCCUAAUGGUUGGGACGAGGAAUGCCAGAAUACUUUCGAAAAAUUUAAGCAAUAUUUGUCUAAUGCCCCAGUUUGACACCACCUAAUCCAGAUAAGCCACAGAUACUGUAUUUGACGGUAUUUGAAAAUUCUAUGGGAUGCGUGAUUGGCCAACACGAUGAAUCGAGAAGGAAAGAAAGAGCGAUAUAUUACCUCAAUAAAAAGUUUACUGAGUGUGAGACGAGAUACUCGUUCAUUGAAAAGUUGUGCUGUGCCUUAAUUUGGACAACCCGAAGACUGAGACAAUACAUGUUGUACCAUACAACUUGGCUGAUCUCUAAAAUGGAUCAUCUGAAAUACUUGAUGGAGUCGAUUUCCUUGAACGGGAGAAUGGCCCGAUGGCAAAUUUUACUUUUUGAAUUCGAUAUAGUCUAUGUGAACCAGAGGGCCGUAAAAGGGAGUGCAAUAGUAGAUUUCUUAGCCAGCAGAGCCCUAGAGGACUACGAGCCGUUGAACUUUGAUUUCCCAAAUGAAGAUCUAAUGUGCAUAGCAGCCGCGGAAGAAGACCCUCAAGAAAGUCACCCUUGGAAGCUAAACUUUGACGGAGCAUCAAAUGCUGUGGGUAACGGAAUUGGGGCAGUUCUGGUGUCCCCGAACGGAGAUCAUUAUCCAUUCACUAGUAAAUUGGAUUUUGAUUGCACGAACAAUAUGGCAGAAUACGAAGCAUACAUCAUGGGAAUACGUGCGGCCAUAGAACGUAUAAUCAAGGUGUUAGAGGUAUAUGGAGAUACUGCCCUAGUGAUUUAUCAACUUAAAGGGGAAUGGGAGACAAGAGACCCCAAAUUGAUCAAUUACCGGAGGUUGAUCCUUGAUUUAAUUAAAGAGUUUGAUGAUAUUGUCUUCUACUACCUCCCACGAGAAGAAAAUCAGAUGGCUGACGCCCUAGCAACUUUAGCUUCUAUAAUUAAGGUGAACCAACCAGAGGAUGUGAAACCAAUCCAAAUGAGCAUUUACGAGGCCCCGGCUCAUUGUUACAACCUCGAAGAAGAAGAGGAAAAUGAUGAUCGCCCUUGGUACCACGAUAUCCUAUGAUAUGUGAAGAAUCGUGAGUACCCCGACCAAGCUACCGAGAACGACAAAAGAACGUUGAGAAGACUGGCCAGUGACUAUGUCUUAGACGGGGAGAUCCUAUACAAAAGAAGAAAGGAUUAGGUAUUGUUAAGAUGUGUAGACGCUAUUGAGGCUAAGAAAAUCUUGGAGGAAGUCCAUGAGGGCAUCUGCGGGACACACGCUAAUGGUUUUACAAUGGCCAGGCAAAUUAUGAGGUUCGGUUAUUAUUGGUCCACCAUUGAAGAAGACUGUAUUAACUAAGCCAAAAGAUGUUAUAAGUGCCAAAUCUAUGGAGACAAGAUUAACGUACCUCUCUCACCUCUGCAUGUCAUGACUUCGCCAUGGCCUUUCUCGAUGUGGGGCAUGGAUAUGAUCGGGCCAAUUUCGCCAAAAGCUUCAAAUGGGCAUCGUUUCAUCUUUGUGGUCAUCGAUUAUUUUACCAAAUUGGUGGAGGCCGCUUCAUAUGCCAAUGUCACUAAAUCAGCAGUUAGCAAGUUCCUGAAAAAGAAAAUCAUCUGUCGAUAUGGAAUACCGGAAAGGAUCAUAUCUGAUAACGCAUUGAAUUUGAACAACAGCACGAUAGCGGAUGUCUGCAGUCAGUUCAAGAUCAGACACCACAACUCGUCACCGUAUCGCCCGAAGAUGAACGGUGCAGUCGAAGCAGCCAAUAAGAACAUUAAGAAGAUUGUAGGAAAGAUGACAGAAACUUAUAAAGAUUGGCAUGAGAAACUACCAUUCGCCCUCUAUGCUUAUCGAACGUCUAUCAGAACUUCUACUGGGGCAACACCUUUCUCAUUAGUCUAUGGAAUGGAGGCAGUUUUAUCUAUCGAGGUCGAGAUUCCUUCCCUCAGAGUUUUGUCAGAAGUAAAGAUGGAUGAAGCAGAAUGGAUCCAGUCCCGAUACGAUCAGUUGAAUUUGACCGAAGAAAAGAGGCUACGGGCUAUUCGCCAUGGUCAGAUGUACCAAAAACGAAUGAUGCGAGCUUACAACAAAAAGGUUCGUCCCAGAGAGUUCCACGAGGGAGACCUAGUACUGAAAAAGAUCCUGCCCAUACAAAAAGACUUCAGAGGAAAAUGGAUGCCGAAUUGGGAAGGGCCUUAUGUGGUGAAGAAAGCCUUUUCUGGCGGAGCAUUGAUAUUGGCUGAAAUGGAUGGUAAGACCUUAUCCAAUCCCGUGAAUUCAGAUUCGGUUAAGAAAUACUUCGCCUAAAAAAAAGAGAGGCCAGGGUGAAAACUCGCAAAGAGCACCUUGAGACCAAAGGGAUUUUGAAUUGAAAACCCGUAAAGGGCGAUUCAAAUUUUGAUCAAAGGUGGGGCAUGCGAUGGUCUUAUGGUACCUAAAUUAAAGAGGAGAGAUGUUACAUCUUGGGCAUCUUCAAGAGUACUUUAGAUCCCCUAAACACAUAUUGGGCAAAAAAAAAGGAGUCCUCAAGAAGUCAGUACAGAGAAACUCACGCUGCGAUAUCUGGGGCACCUAUUCCCUUUUAUUCAUUUUGUAUUCCAGCAAUGUUUGUUGACUGCGAUUAAUCUAUUCCCUUCAAAUGUUGUUCCCGAUAAAUUUCAGUUUUGUCAUUGUUAUGAUCUUUUUCAAGCAUUUUGCAUUGAAAUGAUGAUUAAUGGACUAAAGCCAUUUUCGCAAGAAAGAAUUCUGUAUAUUACUCUGAAAGUUUCUAAAUAGUACAGGAACCUAAAGCAGGACUAUUAUUUAGAACUAACCAAACUCAAAGAUUGGAAGCAUAUGAGAAGAAAGAGUAUAAAUUGGGACCACCUCUUCGGGUUUUCUGUUCAAAAUCUGAACUGAACAAGAAGACAGAGUACCAUUUCAGUGAAAGAACCUUGAUGAACAAAGAGCAAUGGCAACAAAAGGGAUUCACGCUCACAACAUGUUGCACCCAUACAUUCAUAGAUCAUUCAUAACGCAUCUAAUUAGGAGCAUUUGAUUCACUUUGAUCAUAGCAUCCUAAUUCUUUGGCAUAAGCAUAAAUACAUGGAACUGAUUCUACAGGUCAUGUCCCUAGAAUCAGUGAAUUCACCAAGCCUUAAACCCCUAAGCAGUAGGAUAACAGGUUUAAUUUACAGACCUUAACCCCCUAAGCAGUAGGGUAAUAGGUUAAAAAUUACGGAUUUUGUCUCCCUGAAGUUGCAGUGGAACAGAUCAAAUCCAGCGAAUCCUGCAUUCCUGAAGUCUCAGUGGAGCAGACUGAAGUUACAAGUCUCAUCUCCUUGAAGUCGCAAUAGAGCAGACUAAAUGUACAGACCUUAAACCCCUAAGCAGUAGGGUAAUAGGCUGAAAAUUACAGAUUUCGUCUCCCUGAAGUUGCAGUGGAACAGAUCAAAUCUAGUGAAUCCUGUCUUCCUGAAGUCUCAGCGAAGCAGACCGAAGUUACAAAUCUCAUCUCCUUGGAGUCGCAGUGGAGCAGACUAAAUUUACAGACUUUAAACCCCUAAGCAGUAGGGUAACAGGUUGAAUUCAAAAGGCUUUAACCCCCUAAGUAGUAGGGUGACAAGCCGAAUUUGUAUAUCUUAUCACCCUAAGCAGUAGAGAAACAAAUCAAAGAAGGUGGACCUUAACCCCCUAAGCAGUAGGGUGAUAGGCCGAAAAUCACAGAUCUUGCUUCCCUAAGGUUUCAGUGGAGCAGAUCAAAUACAUCGAAUCUUGCCUCCUCGAAUGCUGUGAAGCAGAUUCAAACCACCAAGCUUUAACCCCCUAAGCAGUAGGGUAACAAGCUGAAGUUUAUAGAUAUUAUCGCCCUAAGCAGUAAGGAAACAGAUCGAAGGCGACGAGCUUUAACUCCCUAAGCAGUAGGGUAACAAGCUGAUGUUCAUAAGAUCUUAAACCCCUAAGCAGUAGGGUAACAGAGUAAAUUGUAGAUCUUAUUUCCCUAAGCCGUAGUGGAGCAGAUCGAAGAUUGACAAACCUUAACCCCCUAAACAGUAGGGUAACUGGUUAAAUUUACAGAUCUAAACCCCUAAGCGGUUAGGAAACAGAUCAAUGAUGACAAGCCUUAACCCCCUAAGCAGUAGGGUAACAGGCUGAAAAUCAAAUGUCUUCUCCCUGAAACAGCAGUGGAGUUGAUCGAAGCCACAGCAGAUCUCCUUGAAGUUUCAAUGGAGUAGAUUGAAGUCACAUGUUUUAGCUCCAUAGAGUUGCAGUGGAGCAGAUCAAAACAAACCCUACCUUCUUGAAGUUGCAGUAGAGCAGUGAAGCGAAACGAAGCAACAAGAUUGGAAUAAAGCUACCUGGAGAAAAGGAGCGCUAAACAAGUCCAGACAUAGUGAGACCAGGCAAAAUUGGUCUUUCUUAAGUCUUUGCUCUGUUCUCGUUACACGACAACAAGCAAAGAGGGGCAGCUGUACAAGCCCAAUUUUGGGCCCAAAACCCCUAAACCCACUAAGCCACAACCCAAACCAACUUAAACCUACCCAAAACCCAAAUAACCUAGCCCAAUACAUUAAAGAAAAAUAAAUGAAAACUUAAAACCCUAGCAGUCAGCACAUGCUCCCCACCCCAUCCACCACCGAUGCCUGCAAGUGGCCUCUGCUCCACCACCGUUUGCCUGCAGCAAUAAAGGAAGAAGAGAUAGAUUAGUCAAAUAGGGCAAGUUGUAGAAAAAACGCCUAUAAAAUGCUGAAUCCAAAAACCAUUGGGGGGUCGGCCUUUGGUGUAAUGAAAAAAUAAUCUUAGGUUUUAAAACACAAGCAAAGAAGCUAAAAACUCUAGCAAUAUCAAAAAGCAAGGAAAAACAGUUCAAACACAGGAGCAAAGUUUGAAAUCUAAGGUGAUAGUUUUAUUAUUUUCGUGUUCUUGUUUCUUUUUUUCUUUUUCUUUUCUUUCUAUUUUUGAAUCUAGUCCCCACAUAUAUAUGCAUAUAUUAAAGACAUAAAAAAUACAAAAAAAUAAAUAAAAAAAUAGAUACCUUUCGAAAUUCACGCGGUGGCCGGCGACGGCGGUUAACGGUGACCCUGCGACGGUCCGGCGACCCUUUCUGGCCGGAUUCUGGCUUUGGCCAGAGAGAACAGAGAACCCCUCCCCUCUUUUUUUUUCUGAGGCAAAGAAAAAUGAAUUGUUUAUAAAAUUUUUUUGCUUUUAUAACACUAAGGAAACGACGUCGUUUUCAUUGGCCUCCCCAGACGUCAAAACGACGUCGUUUUGGGGAGGCCAACCCGAUCCGACCCGCCCCAACAAUAGGAUCCGGGUGUUUUUUAAGCGGAGGGGUUAUUUGCGCUGUUGGCCCCUCCGCUUUUUUGUGAUUUCGCGAUUAAGUUUUUUUAAUUUUAAUUUCACCCUUAAACUUAUCUCGGUUUCAAUUUGGGCCCCUAUUAGGACGACGUCGCUUGGGGGGGCGGGGAUUAUUUCAUUUUUGGACCCCGUGUGUUAUUCGUGCUUUCAAAUCAGUCCCUUCCUCCUUUAUUUAUUUUCGGAUUGGCCCCGAAUUCUUGUUUUAAAUUCAAUUUAGUCCCUAGCUUAAUUAUUUAACACCUUUAUUAUUAAAUUAGUUAAUUUCAUUAUUUUCUUUCAUUAUUAUUUAUUAUAUUUUUACUAUCAUGUUUUUACUACUUUAUUAUUAUUGCACUAUUGUUAUUAUUUUCCUUCUUAUUACCAUUUAAAUUAUAUUCUCUUUCUAUUUAUUUAUUCAUAUUUUUUAAUAUCAUCAUUACUAUUAUUGCUAUUAUAUUUUAAUAUGUAUUCAUUGUAUCUAAUUUUAUUUAUUUAUUUAAAUUUAUGUGAUUACUUUAUUUUAUGUAUUAUAUUUAUAUUUACAUUUACGCAUGAAUAUUACUAUUUUACUAUUGCUAUUUUUUAUAUAUAUUAUUUUCAUUUGCAUCUUACUUAUUAUCAUUUUGCAUCUUUUUUAUUAUUAUUAUUAUUAUUAUUAUUAUUAUUAUUAUUAUUAUUAUUAUUAUUAUCUUAGCAUUGAACCCAUAAAUUUCAUAUCGUUAUCAUUAUAUUAUAUAUAUAUAUAUAUAUAUAUAUAUAUAUUUUAGGUAUAUAUUGUUAUUGUACCUUUUAUUAUUACUACUAUUGUUUAUUAUUAUUAUCCUUAUAUUUUUUAUCUUUUGUCAAUAUAUUUAUUAUUUUUCUUUUAUUAUUUUAUAUUUUAUUUAUUUAUUUAUAGGUUUACUAUUAAGUUUCCUUUUUACUUAUUCUUAUUAUCCUUGUUUAUUUUUAUCCUUAUCAUUUUUAUUAUUUUUAUCUAUUAUUUUCCUCUUAAGUUACAUAGCUUGUUUAUUUCUUUCAUUUUUGUCAUUUAUACUACUCAUUUAUUAUUAUGCUUGUUAACAUCAUGAUUUACUCCUUUUCGUUCUUACAAAUUUGCGUUAUAUCAUCCUUUAUUCGACAAAAAUAAUCCUUUCAUAAAAAAGUAAAUAUUUCGUAUUUGGUAAUUCGAGAUAAUCGUGCCCUAACUUACUGGGCUUCGAUUUUUUCUCAUUUAACCUAAAUAACAGAAUACUUUUUCAAAUCACUAUACGAGUUUUGAAAAAUGCUUAUUCUCAAAGAUGCGAAGUGUUGUGCCCUAACUUACCGGGUAUGACAUUUUGUCAUCUCGAAAUAAGAAUUUUGUUUCGAAAUAAAGGCAAUAUUCGGUGUUUGAGAAUUCGAGAAAACGUGCCCUAACUUACUAGGUUUUGACUUCUCUCGUUUAUUCUAAAUAAUCGAAUACCCUUUUAAUAAAAUACACAGAUUUUAUAAAAGGCAAGCUCGCUCUCGAAAAUUCAAGAUGUCGUGUCCUAACUUACUGGAUGUGACAUUUCAUAUUUUGAGACGAGAAGGUCUUUAACACUUGAGCUUUUUAUAAAGAAGGAUCGUAUUUUAAAAUUCUUUCAAGUUUUUAAAUUUUCGACACUAAGACACUAAUUAAUCAACUAGGUACCAAUUUUGGGCGUAUCGAGGGUGCUAAUCCUUCCUCGUGCGUAACCGACUCCCGAACCUGUUUUCUUGAUUUGCGUAGACCAAAAUUGUUGUUUAAAUAAAUCAAACUAUUUAUUAAAAACAACCACUUUUAUGAGGUGACCCGAUCACACCUCGUCAAAAAGGAUCGGUGGCGACUCCCAGUUUUUCGUUUUCAUUUUCAAAAUCCAAGUCGAUUCCUGUUUUUUCAAAAAAAUGGUUACGACAUACUUUACCACAAAUUAAUUUAUUUUGCUUUUAUUAAUGUUUGUUAAUGUGGCUUCGAUAUUACUGCAUAGGCAUUACCUUUGUUUUAUACUUUUUUUCCCCUAAAAUACGUGGAUCUAAUUUUAGAAAAUAAUUUUUUUCUAUAUAUGUUUAAAAUUAAAUAUAAUCCAUCCCUGACCUUUAUAUAGGAGGAUAAACACAUUUCAAUAGCUUGAACUCACAUUUUCUAACAUUGACAACAGUACCAAUGUCAAUUAAACUAAAACUCAGUCGGUAAAAAAUAACAUUUAUUUUAUUAUUUCUUUAAUCUAUAAAAAAUAGAAAUUAUUAAAAAUACACAUUCAAAAUGAGCUUCGAUUAAAAUUUGUCUAGGUUGAUUAUGUAUCGUAAUUACUAAAAUAAAUUCUUAUAUAUAUAUAAAUUUAAACAUGUUUUUAUUAUUUUAGAAUAUGUGUCAUUAUUCUAUUGGUUGUUAGUUCAAAAUUUAAUAAUAUCAGUCAAGUACCAAGAAAAAAGGGCUUAAUUCAUGAUUUGGUUCCUAAAGUAUACACGUAUUUCUACUUUGACAUCUAAACUUUUUUUCUCCCAAUUUGGUACAUAAAGUACACUCAAAUUCUCAAUUUGGUACCUAAAUUAUGACUGUUAUAUCUUUUUAGUCCAUUUUUUGACAGAUGUUAAAAAAAUAGUUAUAGCCAAUCACAAAGUGCCGCAUGACAUCUUUAUGUAAAAAAAUAAAUAUUUUCAUUUAUUAUAUGUAUAUACAAAUUAAAAAAUAUAAAAAUAAAUUUAUAAAAAAAUUCUGAAAUAUAUAUAAAUCUGGAAAAACAUAUAAAUUAUAAAAAAAUUGUAUAAAAAUACAGUUUGCCAAAAACAAAAACGAUAAUUGAAAAAAAUUAGUUAAAAUUAAUAAUAUCAUUACAAAAAUGUAAGAAAAUCGUAAAAAAAAUAAAAAAAGGUUUAAAUAUAUUUUUUUUUAUAAAAUUGUAACAAGGUAUUUAAAUUUCAAGUUUUUUUUUUUUGCAAUUACUUGAAAUUUAAAUACUUUUUAAAAAUUUUAUAAUAUUUUUCAAUUUUUAUAUAUUAUUUGAACUUUUUAAAAUUCAAAAUUAUAUAUUUUAGAAUUUUAUAAAAAAAUUAUUUUUAAACUUUUAAAAUUUGUUUAUAUUAUAUAUAUUUUCAUUUUUAAUCAAUAAACCGAACAUUAUUGUACAAGGCCGUUUGACCUCAGACCCAAACCUAACAGAAGCCCAAACCCAACAGAAGCCCAACCCAAACACAAAACAGAAAAAAAAAAAGAGAGAACUAAAAACCCUAGCCUAAUCAGCUGCUGCCGCCCCUGACCCCUGUCCCAUCCACCACCGACGUCUGUAGCACCGCCCUCGUCAAAUCCACCAUCCUCCAAGUUGCACCCCUGCAAGCAUUAAACGAGAGUAGACAGAAAGCAAGUAGCAUGUAAACGGCUAUUUAAAGCCAAAUCUAAAACCAUUGUACGGUCGGCAUUUUUUUUCUUUAACAGAUACAAGCAUUUAGCAGUCAUUUUAUCAACAAGUAUUAGAUUCAAAUACGAGCAUAAAAUCGCAGCAAAGAAAAACAUCAAAGGGGGUUCAAGGAUUUCAAAACAAGGUUUAUCUAUUUUCUUUUUUUUCGGACCUAUUUAUACGUAUCUUUCUUUGUUUUAUAUUGUAAAAAAUAACAUAUACAUACAUAUUCAUAAACUAAAAAAUACAGCAAAAAAUAUAAAUAUUAUACCUGAGGCGAUUUCCGGCCACCGUGUACAGUGGCCGGCGAGGUGGAACGCACGGCAGUGGUUGAGGCCCAGACCCCCUAAUCGGAGUUCAGAGGGAGAGAGCAGAGAGGAGCUUUCAAAUUUUUUUUUUUAAAAAGUGGUGUGAAAUGAAAAUUUUAAAAAAAAUUUAACUUUUAUAAACGUUCAGAAACGACGCCGUUUUAGGCCUUGCUCCCACAGGCCAAAACGACACCGUUUGGCAUAUGACCCUAUGACCUGUCCGACCCAACCCAGGAACCACUAGGAUCCGCGUGUUUUCGCUAAUUGGGCUAUUUACACCCGUAGUCCUUCCAUAUUUUUUAUUCUUUUAAUUUAAUCCUUUUGUUAUUCUUCUUUUGUUUUUAAAUUUGACCACAUAAAUCUUCUCAAUUUUCAUCUCGGUCCUUAACACAUGUGCGCCGGAUGACGGACACGUGUCCAGAGGCUGGAAUUUUUGCCUGAUAGUCCUCAAACCUUGCGCAUAUUUUCAAUUUUACCCCGCUCUUUUAUUUUAUUAUAGUUUUCACUUCUACUUUCAUUUUUAUUCCAAUUUAACCCCUAAUCAGUUUGAUUUUAAUCCCUUUUUUAUUUUUAUUUAUAUAUUCAUUUUAUUAUUAAUUCAUUUAUUUCAUUUAGGUAUUUAAUUUGCCAUUGUUAUUUUUUUUUAUAUUUUAUUAUUUUUACUUAAUACUUAUAUAUAUAUGCUAUAUAGUAUUAUUAAUAGUUUUUAAUAUUAUUUUUAUUAAUGUAUUUGUAUUUCACCUAUAUAUUUAAUAUACAUGUAUUAUGCUCCAUAUUACGCAUAUAUAUAUAUCAAUAUUAUAUUAUGUAUAUUUUUUCUUUUAAACACUAUAUAUAUAUUAUGUAUAUAUUUUUUAAUAUAUCUAUAUAUAUACUAUGCACAUACUUUUGUCAUGUAUUCUUAAUGUGUAUGAAUAUAUAUAUAUAUAUGUAAUAUCAUUAAUAGUUGUUUUCUAACAUUAUUAUCAUUUAUAAUAUAUGUGUAUCGUAUAUAUAUAUAUAUCUUUUUUAAUAUUCUAUUUUUCUAUAUGUUAUGUAUAUAUCUUUAGCAACAUAUUAUACUUUUUAUUUUUUUAUAUUAUCUUACGUAUAUAUUUUUAACUAUUAUGUACAUACUAUUACUAUAUCUAUUUAUGUAGCAUUAUUAAUAGUUAUUCUUACUAUUAUUAUUGUUCUCAGCACCUAUACUACGUAUACAUUCUUAAUACUAUAUUAUAUUUCUUAAUUUCAUAUCAUGCACAUGUUAUAAUUAUUUUUACCUCUAUUAUACUCGUUAUUAAUAUUUACAUAUAUACUCCGUUAUACAUGUAUAUAUAUAUGUAUAUUUUAUAUAUAGAGUAUUAUUUUUAUAUAUCAUUAUAUUUAUUAUUAUACUUGUUGUUUUCACUAUUGUUGCUUAUUAUAUUAUAUUAUUUUGAUACUAUCAUUACUAUUACUAUAUUUUUUACCUAUUAUUUUUUUAAACAUACUUAUUUUCUUUUUUUUCCUCACUCACAUUAUAUUUUAUUUAUUUAUAGAUGCACAUAUAUAUUAAUCUUCAUAUACCAUUCUAAAAAGUACUCAUUACUUGUAUUAUUACUAUUAAUAUUAUUAUUAUCAUUACUAUACUGUCAUUUCUUUAGUUUUACAUAGCGAUUGUUUAUUUAUUACUCGUUCCUUUUAAUUUCGAAUACCUCUUAGCUUAUUCAUGAUUUCAUUUUAUUCGUUUUAUUCAUUCAUUUUAUUUUUGCUCUCAUCAUCAUUAUCGCUCACAUUCGUGUUUAUGUUUAUUCUGUUAUGUCUGUCAAUACCAAUUUUUUAGUUAUGCAUUCUUUAUUAUCUCGUUUCAUUAUGAAUUUUCGUUUCUUCCAACCCCAUAUUAACUCUUUCAUAAAGGCGAUAUUUUGUACUUGGAAAUUCGAGAAAAUCGUGCCCUAACUUAUUGGGUUUCGAUUUUUCUCAUUUAACCUAGAUAACAAAAUAUUCCUUUAAACUUUAAUACGGAUUUUUGAAUAAAACUGCUUACUCUCGGAGAUAUGAAGUGUUGUGCCCUAACUUACCGGGUAUGACAUCUUAUUACCUCAAGAUAAUAUUUUGGUAAAUAAAGGCAAUGUUCGGUAUUUGGAAGUUCGAGGAUAAGGGCCCUAACUUACUGGGUUUCGAUUUUUCUUGUUCAUCCUAACUAAUCGAAUAUCCUUUUAAAAAGGAAGUUAAAAUACAUUUUAAAUAAAAGGCGAGCUCAGUCUCAAAGUUCGAGAUGUCGUGUCUUAACUUAUUAGGCAUGAUAUUUUAUUACUUCGAGAUAAGAGAGUCCUUAACAUCCGUUUUAAUUUCUUCAACCAUUUUUAAGUUAGCAUUAAUACAAAGAGGGAUUGUAUUUUAAAUUCUUUCAAGUUUUCAAAUUUUCGACAGUAAGACACUAAUCAAUCAACUAGGUACCAAUUUUUGGGCGUAUCGAGGGUGCUAAUCCUUCCUCGUGCGUAACUGACUCCCGAACUCAUUUUCUGAUUUUCGUAGACCAAAAAUUAUCAUUUUAGUAAAUCUUAACUUUUAUUAAAAUGAUUAAUUUAAGGUGAUCCGAUCACACCUCAUCAAAAGGAUUGGUGGCGACUCCCAUUCUUCGUUUUUUUAAAUCCAAGUCGAUCCCCGUUUUCCAAAAAAAUAGUUACGACAAUUAUAAUCAAAAAGUUUAACUAUUUAAGCCUUCAUUUGUAUCCAAAUCAACUAAAAAAAAAGCUCAAAACUCUGUUUCCGAAAUACCUUCUAUAAUUAAUUGAAUAUAUACCUAGACUUGCAUCGCACUUUAUUGUAUUGUAUUUAUAACCCUGGAACUAAAAAACAAAAAGAUUCAUACCCCUUCUCUCUCUAUAUACGAGCUUAAUGCAAAGAAACAAAUAGAAGCUGUUUCCACUGUUGUACAAAACAAAAAUAUAUAAUCUGGUCUAAACUUCACCAUUGGUAAGCUAAAAGAAACAGCUUCACCACAAUGGCAAACAUCCACCACGAUCAUCGCUUCUCUCUUGUUUUUGGCCUUCUUGGUACGUAAUGUUCAUAGAUUUCUCUUCCUACUAUCUAAGGUGAAGUUAGGAAAUUUUGGUUGAAGGAUUGGGAUAAGACUAUAAUUUGAUGACGGUCAAACUUUGAAAUUUUAUGCUAAAAAGAUUAAAUUGUAUUACAAAAUAAUACGAGGAUCUAAAAUUACAAUAAAUCCACUUUAUUCACGAGAUUUGUCUCGGUAAUAUCAAUUCGCAGCACGAUAUUAUGCUCGUUAUUUCAUUGGUGAUAAAUACAAAUGCGAUCGAAAACAUGAUGUUGAAUUAAUUAUUUUUGUGCAGAAAAUAUUUUGUUUUAGGUUUUUUGUUUGAAUGUUUAACAACAUUGCUUUUCAUUUUUCUUUGGGUCCAUCGAUCAAAGACCAACAUUUUAUAGGAUUUUCAAUCAAUCCCAUAUUCAGUAGCACUUUUCAGUGCCAUGUUGUUGCUCUACUAUGCUUUCCUCAAGGAACAUGUUGCAUCCAUGCUCAUCACCAUUAAUUCCAUUGGUUGCUUCAUUGAAUCCCUCUAUCUCUUCUUUUACAUGAUCUAUGCAACCAAAAGUGCUAGGGUACGUUUAUUUUAUUUUGGAUGCACUGUGAAUUAAUCAUAAUAUGUAACCUAUUAAUAUAGCUCAAUUUUUAACUUAGAUAAUUUAAAAUUAUAUAUUUAUUUUUAAUAUUUUUAAAAAUGGACGAAUUUAAAUAAGAGAAUUCAAUUUAAUUUUUAUGAUAUUCAAUUCGAUUUUUAAUAAACCAAAAUACUCUUAUUAACUUACUUAUUAUAAGCCAUAUAUGACAUAUCCAUACAAUUAAUAUUUUGCAGAUAUACACAACCAAGCUUCUCAUAUGUUUCAACAUUGGAGCAUUAGGGUUAAUCAUAAUGAUCACAUUCAUAUUUUCAAAGGGGCUCCCUUAGAGUUUCCAUUGUGGGAUGAAUAUGUGCUGUCUUCUCACUUUGUGUCUAUGCUGCUCCACUUAGUAUAAUUGUAAGUCUAAUCACAACAGUUAUUUUUAAUCAUCUAAUAAUUUCCAUUUUAUGUUUGAAUUUCAGAGGUUGGCUAUAAGAACAAGGAGUGUGGAUUACAUGCCGUCCUCAUUGUCAUUCUUCUAGACACUAUGUGCCGUAACUUGGUUCCUUUAUGGCUUUUCAUCGACAGAUUACUAUGCAGCGGUAAGAUAAAAUGAAAGUUCUUUUAUGACUUUUUAUUUUUAUUGAAAGAUUAUUAUGGGGUAAGAUUAAAUAGAACUCUACUAGUAAAUGCAUUACAUUCUUAAUAACAGAACUCAAGUUUAAAUCAUAGAAAUAUAUUAUUGAAAAUGAUAACUAUAAAUCUUUAAAAUAUUAAUUUUCAUAUAACGUAAAAUGGAUAUGAAAAAUACCUUAAUUGAAAAAGCAACACCUCAUCAAGUGGAUAAAUACAGUAGAGUCCAAUAGGAAUUGCUAACACAUGCUUAGCAAGAGCAUCGCGACUUUAUUAUGCUUUAGCCAUAAAGUAUAUUGCUUUUUUCGCUUUGAUUUUUAAAGUUUUUUUUCUUUUUGCUCACUUCAAUUCCUAACAUUAUUCAACAUUCACAAUUCAAUCCCAAAAUGUUAUCAGAUGUUCCUCAUUCGAUUUUUUGGAUGUUAAAAAAAUUGGUAGGAUUAUCUAGCUAAUCAUAAAUUUCCAUGGGGCAUACAUUGAUGUCAUAAUGACACCACCAUCCGGGAAAAAAAAACUAAUAGAUCUUUUAAAAUAUAAAAAAAAUUACAAAAAAUGAAUAAAAUUAUAUAUAUAAUUGUUUAAAAAAUUGUAAAAAGGUAUUUUAAAAGUGAUGAAAAAGUUAUAAAAAUUAUUAGAAAUUGUAAUUUAUUAAUUUUUUUCAAAAAAGUAAUAAUUAUUGUAUCUUAGAAUAAAGUAUAACUUCUCUAAUUAAAUUUAAAAUAUUAAAAAUUUGAUAUAAAAAUUGCAUAUAGAAAUACAAUUAAUUGUAUUAGGUUGUGGUUACUGUUACUUUUUGAGUGAUCUUUAGGCUGUUGUUAUUUAACAGAAAUUAGGAUGAAAAUAUAAUAUAAAGAAAAGAAAAAGAGAACAAAAAGAAAGAUGAAGAGCAAAUUCUAAUAGAAUAUUAAAAAAGGACAAUACGAAAAUCCAAUUAGGAAAAGGAGAGGAAAAAAUAGUGGAAUUAUAAUUCUAAGGAAAGACAAUAUAUGAAUUAUAGUUAGAAAAGAAUUGGGAGCGAAGGUGACAAUUUCCAAAUACCCCUAUUUUUGGCUGAAUUUAGAAGGAAAUGGAAGGGAGAUGUGUGGCUUAAACUCAAGUCUAAAGGGGUAUUAACGCCUUAACCAUUAGACUAUACCCAUUUCUUAUUAAAUUUUAUCCCCAACAAUUUAUAUUUUGUGUUUUGUCGAAAUCUCAAAAUUAAAAGGGAAGGAAGAGAAUGCUCAAACCUUGGUCACUUAAAGGACUAAUACGCUAACCAUUAGGCCUAAGCCUAUUUCUUGUUUAGUUUUUACUUCAAAUAAUAUUUGUUUUAGUAUGGUUUUUAUCCUAAAAGUUAUUGAAAAUAAAAUGAAAAAAAUGGAACAAAUGAGGUUUAAACCUAUAACUUCUAAGAUGGAUCCACUAUCACUUAACCAUUCAGCCUAUGUCUUAUUUUUUUGUUUAUUUUAGUCACUUAAUUAUAUAUAUAUAUAUAUAUUUAUUUCGGGCUCAACUUACAUAUUUUUUUAUUACCUUACACAUUUACUCAUUUUUUAUUAACUUAUUUAACUUUAAAGUUUUUAACACAUUCCACAUUAGUUUAUAUAUAAUAAUUAAUACUCAUAAUCAAGUCUCAUUAUUAAUAUUUUAAUUUAUUUUACCUAUUUUCCAAUUAGGUCCUAACUCAAUUAAAACACACUAUUUUCAAAUUAAAUCUCGUAAUCAGGUUUCGUUUUAGAUUAAUUAAUAAAACAAAACCUGAUAUAUUAUUUUAAUACUUUAAUUAGUUAUUUAAAGCAAAGUUUAAGGACUAAAUCAUAAUUUUAGUAAAAUAUUUUAGUAAAAUCAUUUUGGUAAAAUCAAGAUUAAAAUUAUGGAAUUAUCCAAAUAAGAUUUAAUCAUGCAAAUUUUCAAGUCAUUUCAUAACAUUUAAGGACUUCAAUUGCAUAGUAUAAAAAUUAGGACUCAAUUGCAAAGAUAAUAAAACAUGCCCAACCUACAUAUUGCAUAUUGACACCUAUACAUACUAUUUCGUGUUUUCAUGCCAAUUUUCCUAUUCUAACAUGUCGUACAUCAUACAUAGAUCAUUCAAAUAAUGCUUAGUUAUAUUAAAACAUACAUUAACACACUUUAACAGUCCUGUGUAUUUUGGGUUAAAUUCAAUCAAUCAACCACAAAUCCAAUUCUUUUAAUCCCAUUUUUGGGAUGUGACAGAAAUUGUCAAAUUGUACUUAUUUACCCUAUUGCGAAAAAUUUUAAAUUUCUUUCUGUUUUUCAAUAUUGAAAUUUUAAAUUUCAAAACAUCAAAACAAAUUAUUGAAAAAUUGUAUCCCUUGAUAGUAUCAAUUAAUUUGUUACUAUAAUAUUAAAAUUAAUUAAAUUAAUCUCUUUCUAAAAUUUUAAAUUUUAUUUUAUGUUUACAAAUUAAAAUAAACCCAAAUAACUCAUCCUUAAUAAUUGUCUAUGAAACACAAAUUUCUUUUGAGUAUAUGAACUUGAAAUCUUCUAUGCUAAGCUAAAAACAAAGAAAAAUCUUUACAAUUAAUUAAAUUAAUUAAUUAUUUGAGUUAAUUCUGUCAAGGAUAAUUUGAAAACAUAAAAGAAAAUUUUAAACUUCAGGAUAUUAAUUUAAUUAAUUUUAAUAUUAUAGUAACAAAUCGGUUGACAUUACCAAUGAAUAAACAAUUUUCAAUAACUUAUUUAAUUUAUUUUGAUUUUUUGGAUUUUAAAAUUGAAAUAUUAAAAAAAAUUAAAAUUUUCAACAAUGGGAUAAACAAAUACAAUUUGAUAAUUUUUGUGUAUUAUUUUAACUUUUACCGCUUUUUCACUUUGAUCCUUUAUUUUUUUUUACCUCAAUCAUUGCUUAAAAAAAUAUUUUUUGGGUGACCAAAAUAAAAGUGUAAACAUAAUAUAACAUGCAUAAUUAACAGUUAUUAAAGAUUUAACGUUUAGGUGACUCAAAAUAAAAACACUCUAAAAAUUGAAUAAAAACACUCUAAAAAUUGAAACGAAAUUACAAAGAUUUUAUUUCUAUGAAAGGAGGCUAAAAAUUAUUAAGUAAAGACUAAGAAUCAAAAUCUAAUACUCCAUCCCAGAGUAGAAAUAGUGGCCUGAAAGAUUUUAUCACUCUUUGCUAAGCAGCUUGAGCUCAACUUAAAUAAUCCAUGUCCAUUAUUAAAAGUUGAGAUUAUAUAGUCUUUCAUUACUAAAGCACACAAUAAUUUUUGACGUAAUACGAUUGAGCAAAAUAGAUAUAGUACGAAAAUUUAUCAAAACAUUACACAAAUACUUCACCAAAAUCAUGAAUAUGUCAAAAUUGAUAUGUAAUAUAAAGUAUAGCAUGUCAAAAUUUAUAAUAAAUAUAGAGUACGUUAAACAAACGAUUGUGGUACGAUUACAACACUGUACAGGCCAAUUUUGGGCCACCCCAAAACCCAACUAACCUACCCUAACCUAAACAGCCUAGUACCCAAAUAACAAGCCCAAACCAAUUACAACAACCCAAAAAUAAAACAAACCCAACGGGCCAACAAAAAUAAACCCUAGCCCAAAUAACAGCCCACUUGCUUAAGGUUUUUCAGCAGCAAACCCCUGGCACCCCAGCUCUCCAUGCCACCAUGUCGGCCACCAUGCCCCUCAGCCUUGGCCACCACGCCCCACGCGUCUGACACUCCCACCAACUCCUCCAUGUGC
rnacentral:lncRNA from 1 species